GACGAACGCUGGCGGCGUGCUUAACACGUGCCAGUCGUACGGUAAGGCCCUUUCGGGGGUACACGAGUGGCGAACGGGUGAGUAACACGUGAGUAACCUGCCCACAACUUUGGGAUAACGCUAGGAAACUGGUGCUAAUACUGGAUAUGUGCUCCUGCUGCAUGGUGGGGGUUGGAAAGCUCCGGCGGUUGUGGAUGGACUCGCGGCCUAUCAGCUUGUUGGUGGGGUAGUGGCCUACCAAGGCGGCGACGGGUAGCCGGCCUGAGAGGGUGACCGGCCACAUUGGGACUGAGAUACGGCCCAGACUCCUACGGGAGGCAGCAGUGGGGAAUAUUGCACAAUGGGCGCAAGCCUGAUGCAGCAACGCCGCGUGCGGGAUGACGGCCUUCGGGUUGUAAACCGCUUUCAGCAGGGACGAAGCUUUUUGUGACGGUACCUGCAGAAGAAGCACCGGCUAACUACGUG
rnacentral:rRNA from 1 species